CCAGGGAAGGCAGAAGCUCCAAGCUUGCCCAUUGUGGGCAGAGGGAUCCUCCUCGCAUCAUCACCACUGCUUGUAGAAUAACUGCUGAAUUUCAGGCUUCUACUGGCUAACCAUAAUGCCUCGGAGCCUAGCCCAGGAAGGGCCUUCCAGCAUCACCAGUCAUGCAAGAGCUAUCAGAUUUGAACUGAGAAGCUGACAAAAAAUCUUUGGAGGUACCUUGAAACAUUUCCCAUCACGAGUGCUCUUUGCAAAGAGAAGCAGCUUAAAAUUGGCAUGAAGUAGACAUUUCUGUAUAAUCUGACAUCUUCCAGAGAGAAAUCAGUCAUCUCUAAUUCCA